CUCUCACUCCACUUCCUCUCUUAGCCGACGUUCACUUUUCCCAAAUUUGCCAACUGACUGCUGGUGGCGGCAAGUACCAUUGCUCUUUCGUCUUCCCCAUACCUCUGCUGCUUGCUAUCACACUCUACUCUCUUUUGACCUAAGGCGACUUAGUAUCUCAGCUACCCUUUCUCCCAAUUUCUUAUCCAAAGAUGACUUCUAUGCAACGAGGAAAGAGGGUGAAACGGGUUAGGGUUGUCCUACCUCUGCAUCCACCAUCACUACCUUCUCCAUUGCCACCACCACCUCCUCCACCGCCAACACCAUCUCUUCCACCACAUGCUCCUUCACCUGAAGAGCCAACAUACAUGAACUUAGAGAUAGAUUUUGACUUCAUUGCAAAAAAGAUGACACAUGGAAAGUCAUGUGGGAAAUGCCUCCACAAUAUUUUGGAGGCCAAUGGUGGGAAGAAGAUACCGGUCAUCUUUGAUUUCAAACUUCAAGUUCCAAAUGAUCUGGUUGUAUCAGGUUUUUUCACUACUAAGAUAGGGAAUAUUGUUCGGACUCAUUCACCAGUUUGCUAUGAUAAAUGGAUGAAGGUCUCACCUCAAGAAAAGAGGACACAGCGAGAUAAGUUGCUUGUGAGUUUGAUUUUAAUUCAGUUUAUUCAUAAUAAUUUCAAGCACUCACUCAUAUAUUUUAUGGUUAACAAUAGGUAUUAUUUGUGGUGGACCUAUCUCAUACGAAGAUUAUUAAAUAUGUUGAUAAGAAGAUGGUGAAGUUGUACUCUGUGUUUAGGCACCGGUUGUAUAAGUAUUACUUGUCAUGUGGAACACCUGCAAAAGGACAAGCUAAGCUGCUGAACGAUCAGAUAUGGAAUGGGAAACUAAAGAGUCAUUGGGACUGGUUAUGCGAUAAUGUUUACGCUACUACCCACUUUUUGAUAUGUAUCCUAUCCAAUCUUUUCUAAUAUAAAGCUGUGAUAAUAUUAGACGAUAUGGGAUGACUAAUGUUGCAUAUAACUGAUGUUAUGGGGUGAUUGAUGCUGCAUAUGGAUAUUAGACAAUAUGAUGCAUCAUCAGUCACCCCAUAGAAUCAGUCAUAAGCAGCAUCAGUCAUCCCAUAUCGUCUAAUAUAAUGAUUAGACGAUAUAGGAAGACUGAUGCUGCAUAUGACUGAUACUGCAUAUAACUGAUGCAGCAUCAGUCACCCCAUAUCAUCUUAUAUUCUUAUGCAACAUCAGUUAUAUGCAACAUCAGUCACCCCAUAUCCUCAGUCAUAUGCAGCAUCAGUCACCCCAUAUCAUCUAAUAGAUAAUUUAAUAAAUGUUACCAGCUUAUUUAAUAUAUAGGUGCUUUGACAUGUAUUAUAUAGUGUUUAUGGAAAUUAGAAUCUAACUGAUUGGAAAAGAUGUUAGACAAUACUAUUUGUUAAAUUUGAAUGAAUAUGCAUGUACAACUCAAACACUUGAAUAUAUAUUACAAGUCUGGGAGGUAGGAGCUUUCCAAAUUGUACAUGUCUACAAUACUAACUUUUCUUUUGCUUGUCAUCUAUCACAUGUGUAAUUAAUGUAGGAGCUUUCAAAGAAAAAUUCUGAUAAUAGGAAGAAACAAAAGUAUCAUCACAAGGGAGGUGCAAGGCCAUUCAUCCAACAUGCUAGGAAGGCUCACAUGGUAAUGAAAUUAAAGUACUUAUAAUAAUUCAUUAUGCAAUCUCAUGCAUGUUUCUUCAUUAUUGAGCAUAAAUGAGAUCCAUUAUCUGUGAUUGAUAAUUGGGGAGCUCUCCACAAAGGCAAGAACGGCAAGUGGAUCAAUGGUGUUGCUCAAGACAAAUAUGAUAACAUCAAGAAAAAGAAGGAUGAACUAAGGGAGAAGCUGACUGAAGAAGCACCUAAGGGCCAUUUAUUAGAUUCUGUACAUGUGUCAUUGGAUAAUGAGUUUGGAAUCAUGGUUGAAAACCUUGGGAGGAAGGGAAAAUCUGUUAAUGGUGUAGGUGUUUUUCCUCGAACAGAUACCUAUGGUUGCAGUUCUUCUAUGGCUUCAAGUUCUGAGUUAACUGACAUGAGAUCUCAGAUCAAGCUUCUAUCAGAUGGUUUCCUUAUAUUGCAACAAGAGAAUGAACAAUUAAAAGCUCGAUUGGAUUUACAGAAUGUUGAUGAAAAUAUGUUCAUAAAAAUCAAGGCUUUUUUGGUUAUAAGUCAGGGGAAGACCAAUAAAAACUUUAAGGAAUCAAAUGGUGAUAUUUUAGAGGGUGAAAAUACUUAUCUUGAGCUAGAAGAACAUGAUUUGGAAGAGGACUGAUUUCGAUAUUAUGUCUUUUGCUGUUAGUUUCAAGUUUCCACAUGGUAUACCUCUUUUGUUAGCACCUAAAUGUGUCUUAGACUUCUCUUUUGUUAGUACCAAAGCUACCUAUAAUAGCACCAAAGCUGUCUAUAAGUGUUAAUGCCCUUCAUUAUUCUGGCGUAGCAUGCUUCUAUUUUGUUAGUACAUGAAGCUGUCUUUUGUUAGCACUAAGCUGUUUUAGACUUCUCUUUUGAGAUAGGUUACCAUGACUUUAAUUUUGGGGACGUACACUUGGUGAAUGUAUUCGACUUAUGUGCUUAAA